CAGUAACCUGGUAAUGUCAGAUUCAGAUCUUAAGUUCUGUGUGCGCACAUGUCCUGACAGAAUCAGUGAUAUUUGGACCAAACUUUUGCACAUUUUUCUAAUGUGGCAAACCAGGAUUAGAACCAGGAUUCAAUGAACCAGGACUUGUUAACACGAGAGAACAAGGUCAAAUGAGUCGACUCGCAUCAUAAGAAGGCAAGGCUUUUCUCCUUCCCCUUCUUCUCUGUGUGUGAGGAAGUCCACGCUGUCAGUACAGUUAAGUUCUUAGAGGAAAAGGAUAAAACCUAGUUCUACUAGUCCACGUACAGAUCAUGGACUCGACUGAGUUGUGCGCCAUAGUUGUGCAGUUUCCAAAGCCAGACAAGGAUCCAUCUGGUGUUGUGAAUCAGCUGACUGUGGUAUGCUGUUGUUAUGAUCUUAGUGUUUUAGGGACAGAUUUGGUGACGUAGAUCAAACUGUAGCUUUAAAUUCAGUCCAAACAUAGGUGACUCAGUCAGGACUUGUCCACACACAGAACUUAAGAUCUGACUCUGACAUUGCUGGGUUACAGUGUCUCUGAACUACUUCUGUAGACGAGCUGUUCAAUCACCUCAGAAGUCAGAUGUGUAGACAGAGACUUGUAGGCUUGUAAACACUGUGUCGAUGAAUCUGUUUGAAUCAUUUGGGUGAAUCGGGGUCAAACAUUUCAGGUUCUUGCAUUGUCAGUGGUCUGUUGCCUCAUCUUACCAAACAUGUCAUGCUGAAUCAGUUAAUGGAUCCUUUUACAGAUCUACCAGAUGACAGCUGUUUCCUAUGUUACAAAUCAGGGCACUGUAUUAAGCUUUGUCCUAAAUGACUCUUUGAGCUGCCACUAGUGGCCUGAAGUGGGUGUUACAAAUUACAGAUCAUGGGCAACACAGAUUCUUAUCAGAUAAUGUUAAUGUAAUGAGGGAGUUUUCUUUGGUAUCGCCAGGGAAGCCCUGACACCAAAAUCCCUGUUGUAGUUCAAUCAUCAACCAUUGUAUUCACACCCAUGUUCAAUUCGGACACUUCAGACCUGUCUUAAAAGUGCCGUAUUUUUGUCUGCCGCCAAACGUGGUUUCUUGUUGGAACCGAGUGGUUCUGAUUUUCACACCUAAAACCUUCAGCCGUCGUGAUUUUUAAAGUGACGCCCUCUGAGCAGCAGUUUACAACAGUUUGUUCUUGGAGAGGAAAGGAUGCUUCAGCAUUUCCUCCAGACUGGUGAGUAAACAACUGUUAAUGCUAACAUUUGCUCUGUAGCGUUAGCAGAAACACAUGCUCAUUUAACAGUUCUGUCACAUUAGAUCAGAUGCCAGUCUUUGCUGUAAACUUCCUAACACAAGCUAACACCUGUGCUAAAAGAUUAGCCUUAGUAUUCAGUGCCCAGUCUAGACCACCUCCUCACUCCUGCAAUGACCCUUAUCCUCAGUCUGUAGAAACAAGCAGUGCUCAGUGUCUGAUAUCUGAUGUAGUCUGUGGUUGAAUAUUUGCAAGAUGUCCAGGCCCUGAUGUGAUGGAGACUGCAUGAUGUUUGUUUCCUGUGCUACCACAGAAAUCACUGUUGGAUGCCAUGAAGAAGAGGAAGAACAAGCUGCACCAAGCCCUUGAUGAUAAUUAUGCGUGAUUAAUCUAUGUUCAACCUGUCUGGACUGCAGCACCAGGUCCCUCCUCCACUGACUGAGAUGACCAUUCACCACCAUCAGUAUCACACCAUCAUCACAUCCAUUCCAUUGUAUCUAUUGUUGUUUUUAUACUUAUUACUGAUGUACAGGUUUUUAUGGAAAUGUCUUUCUUUGCUAACAUUUCUCUGUGCUGCUGUCAAACUGAAUUGCUCCUGAUACAACCUGACGUGACUUGACACUUAAAACCUUAAAAGUCCUCAAAAAAAAAAAAAAAAAAAACCCUUAAACCCUUAAAAAUUAAAUUAAAAACAUACAACUUAAAAUCUAAACCUUUAAAAUGAAACAAAACUUGAGACUUUAGACUUAACUUAAAACCUAAAACUUUAAAUCUAAACCUUUAAAACCUAAGCCUUUAAUUAAAUCUUAAAAGCUAAAACUUCACAAGACUUUUGACUUAAGACUAAACUUAAAGCUUAAAGAGGACCCCUGUCUUGGAAUUUCUGUAUUUUUGUUUUUAUUGUAUCUGUAUUUGUGCUGCUGUUUAGUGGAUAUUGAUUAUGUCUGAUAUGACUGCAUUUAAAAUCUGUAUUGUUAUCUGAAUGAUGUGUCUGCGCUAAUGUUUAAGUAAAAUCAUUGCUUUUUCUUAA